AUGUGCACUACAACCGGCACGGACCCCACUCCCCGGUGGAAAAGGACCGUACCGACUCAAAAAAAUUAGGAGCAGCUGAGCCCAGCAGAGGGCGCCAGUGAGCAACUAGAGACAGCAGUAUUCUGGAAGCUGCUUGCUCUGGGAUCCAUCACAUGAACACACCUGCUGACAAACCACCUGUAAACCCUCCAGAUCUGGGGUACUCAACACCUAAACGAAGCUAUGGGCACAAAGCAGGGAACAACCCAGGAUGAGGCAUCAACCCAUCACAGGGCACAGUCACACACCAUUCACACCUACGGGCAAUUUGGUAACUCCAGUUAACCAUGUUUCUGCACUGUGGGGGGAAACCCCAGGACGACAGGAGGAGAACAUAUAAACUCUACCCACAUGGAACCCUGGAGGAGACUUGAACUAUAGCCUGGAAAGAGGCCCAGGGGGUGGGGUUCUGAUCUCAGUAUAGACCACCAUAGCGUCUCUAAUUCAAACACACGCUUUACUACAAAAUGCAGUGAGUGCAGAUCACAUUACCAUUAGCAGAAGCACUGUUUGUAAAAACAACAUCACGCCAUGCUGUUCAUUCACCAUAAAGCACUUUACUGCGUUCUGUAUAAUUUAUAUAUACAGCUGUAAUACCGCCUGUGCAAUUGAUGAACACUUUCAGAGUCUCAGUUCUACAGGUAGGUAACCUGUAGGGGGGCAGGGGGUAAUGUGUAAGAGGAUUUGAAUGCAUGUGAAUACAUGGGAUGUAAUAAAUGAACAUAAUAACUGACGACGUUUCACAGACAGAGCGUAACCUUCUGCAGGCUAUA